UNUGACUUGAGUGCAGAAGGGGAGAGUAGAAUUCCAUGUGUAGCGGUGAAAUGCGUAGAUAUAUGGAGGAGCACCAGUGGCGAAAGCGGCUCUCUGGUCUGUCACUGACGCUGAGGCUCGAAAGCGUGGGUAGCGAACAGGAUUAGAUACCCUGGUAGUNCACGCCGUAAACGAUGAGUGCUAGGUGUUAGGCCCUUUCCGGGGCUUAGUGCCGGAGCUAACGCAAUAAGCACUCCGCCUGGGGAGUACGACCGCAAGGUUGAAACUCAAAGGAAUUGACGGGGGCCCGCACAAGCGGUGGAGCAUGUGGUUUAAUUCGAAGCAACGCGAAGAACCUUACCAGGUCUUGACAUCCCGAUGCUAUUCUUAGAGAUAGGAAGUUACUUCGGUACAUCGGAGACAGGUGGUGCAUGGUUGUCGUCAGCUCGUGUCGUGAGAUGUUGGGUUAAGUCCCGCAACGAGCGCAACCCUUAUUGUUAGUUGCCAUCAUUAAGUUGGGCACUCUAGCGAGACUGCCGGUAAUAAACCGGAGGAAGGUGGGGAUGACGUCAAAUCAUCAUGCCCCUUAUGACCUGGGCUACACACGUGCUACAAUGGUCGGUACAACGAGUUGCGAGCCGGUGACGGCAAGCUAAUCUCUGAAAGCCGAUCUCAGUUCGGAUUGGAGGCUGCAACUCGCCUCCAUGAAGUCGGAAUCGCUAGUAAUCGCGGAUCAGCACGCCGCGGUGAAUACGUCCCCGGGCCUUGUACACACCGCCCGUCACACCACGAGAGUUUGUAACACCCGAAGUCGGUGAGGUANCCUUUUAGGG
rnacentral:rRNA from 1 species